AAACUCAAAAAUAAGCUACACCCUAACCCUUGCCCUUUGCAACCGUUUCUUUUUCCUCGUAUAUCCGCAUUUUUGAUUCCUUACAUCCCCGCUUGUGAGCAGUUACCAAGCUAGGCUAGAUUUCUAGCAUACGCGAGUGAGAUGGCGCCAGGUUUCGCCCGUGAGACUUCGGUGAGUGCUUAGAGUGCUUAUUUUUCAUAUUUUUAUAGUGCAUUUUCUCUCUGUCAUGUAGAUUUAUCCCCAUUUUCUCUCUUUAUGGACUGGCCGCUUUGAGUUCGACGGGUUCCAUCCAUGCGCUAUCUAUGAUAGGCCGGAGCUCGUCGUUCCGAGGUUGCCAGAUCGCUUUGCCCUACUCUUCUUUCCUCUGUCCUAUUCCUCUCUCUAUUCUAUUGCUCCCCUGGCUAUUGGAGACCGCAACAAAAUAUUUGUCGCUACAAGUCGGGCUUGCAGGACAGCAGGAGGAGAAAACCCCGAGGCGGCUGAUCGGCCAAUCAGAGCUGAUUAGAGAUUUUCCCCUGCUUUCCCAGUGAGCCAUUUUAGACUUCAGCUCGCGACGGUGACGUCUCUCUUACGCCGAGAACGCCGCCACGUUUCGUGAUCUUUCGUCGCCUCAGCCGUAUCUUCUCCUGCUGCUGCCCUGCUGCUGCCUUAGGAAAUCGCUGCUGUUGCCGCCUUUUUUCAUCGCUCUUUUCACCGCUCUUUUCAUCGCUUUUGGUUUUGGAAUACAUUUUUUCCUUUUCUUCUGGAGAAAACGCAGUUAUAAUUUCUAAAAGGUUGAUGUCUUCUCCAACAAUCACACAAUUUUUGGUUGACUUCAAAGACAAGCUCAAGGCCGUUUGAACGAUCAGUGGGUCUGCAUCUCCAUCUGGAAUUUCAUUUGCAAUACUGAUGUUUCUGAUUGUUUAUUGUAUAGCAUUUCUAUCAGUCUUGUUUUGUUUCCGUCAUUAGAUAAAAACUUUCCCUGGAUUAAAGUUA